UACGAAGGGGGCUAGCGUUGCUCGGAAUUACUGGGCGUAAAGGGAGCGUAGGCGGACAUUUAAGUCAGGGGGUGAAAUCCCAGAGCUCAACUCUGGAACUGCCUUUGAUACUGGGUGUCUUGAGUGUGAGAGAGGUAUGUGGAACUCCGAGUGUAGAGGUGAAAUUCGUAGAUAUUCGGAAGAACACCAGUGGCGAAGGCGACAUACUGGCUCAUUACUGACGCUGAGGCUCGAAAAGCGUGGGGAGCAAACAGG
rnacentral:rRNA from 1 species